rnacentral:tRNA from 1 species
AAAAUCCGUCGACUUUAGAAAUCGUGAGGGUUCAAGUCCCUNUANCCCCA